GGGGAUUUAGCUCAGCGGCAUAAGCGCCUGCCUUGCAAGCAGGCAGUUGUGAGUUCGAUCCCUCUUACCG
rnacentral:tRNA from 1 species